GAGCAGACCAACAAAGAAUCAUCAGCCACAACAACUGUAAAAUAUGAGAAGUCUCAUGUGGAGAGUGAAGUGGAAGAAUAAAGUUCUGUCGUUAAAGCCUCAAACAAAGGGUUGAUGAAAAAUGUCUCAACAGCAAGUUGUUUUUCUUUGUGCCAUGCAUUUGUAUCCAGCUGCAAGACAUUACAAGGAUUGUUUGACAAGGGCAUAGAUAGACAAAUCUUUAAGCUUAUCUGCAGUACAUUUGUAUUGGGUUUACUGCUCUACUUAUUAGGCAUAAAUUCACAAUAAUAUAUCCUGAU